rnacentral:rRNA from 1 species
UACGGGGGGGGCAAGCGUUGUUCGGAAUUACUGGGCGUAAAGGGAUCGUAGGCGGCCAACUAAGUCAGACGUGAAAUCCCUCGGCUUAACCGGGGAACUGCGUCUGAUACUGGAUGGCUUGAGUUUGGGAGAGGGAUGCGGAAUUCCAGGUGUAGCGGUGAAAUGCGUAGAUAUCUGGAGGAACACCGGUGGCGAAGGCGGCAUCCUGGGCCAACACUGACGCUGAGUGAGCGAAAGCCAGGGGAGCAAACGGG